GAAAGAUUAGCAUGGCCCCUGCUCAAAGAUGACACACAAAUACAUGAAGUGUUCCAUAUUUUU
rnacentral:snRNA from 1 species